AUGUCCCAACCGGCAAAGGAGGUGAAUGUCAAGUCAGUGCUGCAAUCACUCACAUCCUUUGUUAUGGGGGUCUUCAAACUUAAUACAGGGUUUUGUGACAAGUAUGAGAAAUUGAUCAAAGAUUUUUGGUGGGGAGACAAGUUUGACCACCGGAAAGUUCAUUGGAUGUCCUGGGAAAAUAUGACCAAGCACAAGAGAGAUGGAGGCAUUGGUUUUCGAGACAUGAAAUGCUUUAAUCAAGCUCUCCUGGCCCGUCAGUGUUGGAGGCUUAUUCAACAACCAGACAGCCUAUGCGCAAGAGUGCAUCGCCGAUGCCUCGCCGUCCUAGAGAGGUAUUGA
rnacentral:rRNA from 1 species